rnacentral:lncRNA from 1 species
CUAGCAACCGGGCUACGCACGCAGGUUUAAGUCUCAUUGACCGACCUGUGCAGGGUUCCAUACUUCGUUCUUUAACAACACAACCGUUCAAUGCUAAGGCUUCCUGCCAAAUGGAACUGUAGGGGAGAGUCUACUGAACAAGCCAGUACCUGUACUGCCAUCUGUUGAGUUACGAAGGUGGAGGCAUUACUUUUCAUUCAACCCUCAUAUGAGUUACGGAUUGAUGAUGAUAAAUGGAAGCUCUUAUGUGUACCUGCGAUCCAGAGUCACACACAGAACAAUAACAUGCCACUCAGGUUUACAGGACAAAAAUACGAUAACUUUACUGAUUCCAAGAGAUAAAAAAAAUCAGUAGUAUUUGUUAGGGUAUAAUGAAGCUCUGUGUGUGUUAAAGAAAAAAACUACACUGCUGAUCAUAACAUGCAGGAGCUAAUCUAGGUAAGCAGUUAAGCAAUUAAGUUUGGACCACACCCAGUGAGGUGUGGCUGUUUGUGUAUUAGCUUCUGCUCCUGCUUUUGGUUUCGCUUUUGCUUUUGGAUCUCUCUCUUUUGGAAGAAGAGGCUGAAGAAGCCAUGCUCUUUGUAUUGCAAUGCUUCUUGGAUCUUGAAAUGCUUACAAGGGCUAUGUGGAAGGCAGAAGGAUCAUUAUCCACAGUGAAGCAUCACAGCAGAGCCACAAACUCCUUAGUGGAAUGUACAAAAGCUUCAGGAGAGUCUACUACAGGAGAGUCUACUACAAAUACAUGAAAGAACCCUCAGAAGCUACCUGAAGAAGGGAUUUUGAUCCAGAAACAAGGAUUACAAAAUACCCGGGAAUCCUUGUUAUUCUACAUUCUUUUGUUUUACAUUCCUUUUGCGCAUCUCCUAGAUAUUAAUUUGCAUGGGACAUUGAUGAAUUUAUCUAAAGUGUGAACCACAGUUUAUAGAAGAAAUUAUCAGUUGUUUAUUCCUGUGACCAUGCAUUUCUAAGACUUUUAUCUACGUGGGACAAUUCAAAGUGUUGUACUCAGUUACUGAACAUACUUAUUUGUUACUAAAAAAAACAUAC